UAAAAAGUAAAAUAUGCUUUUGAACUGUGGUGUUGGAGAAGACUCUUGAGAGUCCCUUGGACUGCAAGGAGAUCCAACCAGUCCAUCCUAAAGGAGAUCAGUCCUGGGUGUUCAUUGGAAGGACAAAUGCUGAAGCUGAAACUCCAGUACUCUGGCCACCUGAUGCGAAGAAUUGGCUCAUUGGAAAAGACCCUGCUGCUGGGGAAGAUUGAAGGCAGGAGGAGAAGAGGACAGCAGAGGAAGAGAUGGUUGGAUGGCGUCACCGACUCGGUGAACAUGAAUUUGAGAAAAGCCCAGGAAACAGUGCAGGACAGGAAAGCCUGGCCGCAGCCCAUAGGAUUCCAAAGAGCCAGACAGAUCUCGGCGACGGAACAACAACAGCAGCAAAAAGAGUAACUUCUCGUUUUGUUUCUUUCAAAAGUGUGGACCAUGAGACUUUCAAAGUGCUUUCUACUUUUAAAGAGAUAAAACUUCUAUUGUUCUGUGAGCAGUUUACCUUCAACACAUCACACCUAAUUGAGUCAACAAUGAUACCUUGAUAUAAAAAUAUAUUCUGUUUGCGGGCACACAUUUUUUUUUUUUUUACAUGUUGUAUCUUGCUUUUUGCCCUGAUUUUCAGAAAUCGGAUGCAUUGGAGAUAUGCGGUUUCCCUGCAUCAAGGAGAGGAACACGAAUGAUGUGAGCUGGUCGGGGACAUCAUGUUUGCUCAGUGGAGGAGAGAUCUCAGGCAGAGUUUCCAAGACUGGGCUUUGCUGAUGCAGGAAGCUGAGCAGGGCAUGGUUGCCACGUCUGGUCCAGGCCUCACGGGCACGCACGUCAUGUUUCAUCAGCUAAUCGGUGACAGCUAUGUCAUGCUUUUCAAGAUAUGUCCCACUGAUGGCUCUAAAAGAAGGACAGCAUGAUGAAAGAGUGACACGCGACAUUAUGUCCCAAUUAGCAAGUCUUCCUCUGAUAUCAUCACAAUGGGAGCCAAGGAGAUCUGAGCACACACUGGUCCUCUUUAUUGUAGGAAAUGCAGACCCUUCUCCAUCCUUAAGUCCCUUAUGGCAUUUCUGGCUGCUGGCUGUGUUAGUCACUCAGUUGUGUCCGACUCUUUGUGACCCCAUGGACUGCAGCCCGCCAGGCUCCUCUGUCCAUGGGAUGCUCCAGGCAAGAAUAUUGGAGUGGGUUGCCACUUCCUCCAGGGGAUCUUCCCAACCCAGGGAUCAAACCCACACUGCCUGCAUUUCAGCAGAUUCUUCACCAUCUGAGCCAACAGGGGAGAGACCCUUAUGGUAUUACUAACAAAACUGUCACAAGACUUCUCAAAGUCUAGUGUGAACCCACGUCACCUGGGGAUCUUGCUAAAGUACAGACUUUGUUUUGGAGUAAGGCCUGAAACUCUGCAUUUAUAUCAGGUUCCCAGGGCGCUCAGUCUGACUGGCCCACGGACCAUAUUUUGAAUGGCAAGGAGCUAAGAUACAUCUCCCAUGCAAGAGGGAAGGCCACGAACAACCAGCCCGUGUCCCCAAGAUCAAAUUAAAUGGAGACGAGACGCUCACUUCCAUGAAGAGAGUGGAUGACAGCAACAUGAUGGACCUAGAGAGUGUCAGGCUGAGUGAAGUCAGACAGAAAGUGGGAAAUAACC
ensembl:lncRNA